rnacentral:tRNA from 1 species
GAGGGAAUAGAUCAAGUGGUAAGGUCUUUGCCUGGCAAGCAUAAAGCCCUGAGUUCAAACCUUAGUACCACCA